UGCCAGCCGCCGCGGUAAUACGGAGGGUGCAAGCGUUAAUCGGAAUUACUGGGCGUAAAGCGCACGUAGGUGGUUUUUUAAGCGAGGUGUGAAAUCCCCGGGCUCAACCUGGGAACUGCACUUCGAACUGGAAAGCUAGAGUAUGGUAGAGGAUAGUGGAAUUUCAGGUGUAGCGGUGAAAUGCGUAGAGAUCUGAAGGAACAUCAGUGGCGAAGGCGACUGUCUGGACUAAUACUGACACUGAGGUGCGAAAGCGUGGGUAGCAAACAGGAUUAGAUA
rnacentral:rRNA from 1 species